rnacentral:rRNA from 1 species
UACGAAGGGGGCUAGCGUUGUUCGGAAUUACUGGGCGUAAAGCGCAUGUAGGCGGUUCUUUAAGUCAGGGGUGAAAUCCCGGGGCUCAACCCCGGAAUUGCCUUUGAUACUGGAGAGUUAGAGUUUGGGAGAGGUGAGUGGAAUUCCGAGUGUAGAGGUGAAAUUCGUAGAUAUUCGGUGGAACACCAGUGGCGAAGGCGGCUCACUGGCCCGAAACUGACGCUGAGAUUCGAAAGCGUGGGGAGCAAACAGG